rnacentral:rRNA from 1 species
CUUGGUCAUUUAGAGGAAGUAAAAGUCGUAACAAGGUUUCCGUAGGUGAACCUGCGGAAGGAUCAUUAUCGUACAAUGGGGGUACCCGGGUUGUCGCUGACUUUUUUUUUGUCGUGCACGCCCGAGUGCUCUCACAUACAAAUAUAUCCAUCUCACCCCUUUGUGCAUCACCGCGUGGGUGUCCCCCCUUCUUCGGAGGGGGGUGCUCACGUUUUUAACGUCAAACACCCUAGUGUAGAAUGUUCUUUGCGCGAUCACGCGCGAAUCAAUACAACUUUCAACAACGGAUCUCUUGGCUCUCGCAUCGAUGAAGAACGCAGCGAAAUGCGAUACGUAAUGUGAAUUGCAGAAUUCAGUGAAUCAUCGAAUCUUUGAACGCACCUUGCGCCCCUUGGCAUUCCGAGGGGCACACCCGUUUGAGUGUCGUGAACAUCCUCAACCUGCUUCGUUCUAUCGAACCAAGUAGGCUUGGAAUUUGGAGGUUUUUCUGCUGGCUUCCUCUGUGAAGCCAGCUCCUCUUAAAUCUAUCAGUGGGAUCCGCUUUGCUAGAUCCUCGACGUUGAUAAGAUGUUUCUACGUCUUGGGUUUCGCUCGGGAAAGGACCUGCUUCUAACCGU